GUCCCCUUUUGUGCUGUGGAAGCUUUGUUCUUUCUCUGUUUGCAAUAAAUCUUACUGCUGCUCACUCUUUGGGUCUACGCCGCCUUUAUGAGCUAUAACACUCACCGUGAAGGUCUGCAUCUUCACUCCUGAAGCCAGUGAGACUACGAACAAACGCAUUGGGAGGGACGAACAAACGCAUUGGGAGGGACCAACAACUCCGGACAUGAGGAACAAACAACUCCAGAUGCGCUGUCUUUAAGAGCUGUAACACUCACAGCAAAGGUCUGCGCCUCACUUCUUAAGUCAGUGAGACCACAAACCCACCAGAAGGAAGAAACUCCGGACGCAUCUGAACAUCUGAAAGCACAAACUCUGGACACACCAUCUUUAAGAACUGUAACACUCACCGCGAGGGUCCGCAGCUUCAUUCUGGAAGUCAGCAAGACCAAGAACCCAUUAUUCCGGACACAAAGGGGCAGCUGCUGUAGCUGUGUCACCUGACAAGCAACCAGCGCCCCCGCUGCACAAAGCAGCAGCAGCAGCAGUUUCAGCACAGCCCAGAAACGAGUGUGCUUCCGGGGGAGUGGCUUGCAGGGGCAGGAUUCGGACUUAGAUUUGGGGGCCUAAUUUGUUUCCUUGUUCCAGGGAGAAGAUGUCCAUCUAUAAGAAAGUGGUCCCUCAGCAGACACUGAAUCUGCUGGUGUCCUGAUCUUGAAUAUACCAGCCUCCAGAACUGUGCAAGUCAUCCCUGAGGAAGUAGUGACCAGCUGUGGAUGCUACGCUGAGGCCCUUCUUUAAGAGUGAUCUGAUGGCACUGGAUGUCUGCUGAGGCUUGUGUCUAGAAGGAAUGAAAGGAUGUGCCAACAACAGCAGUUGUCUCCUCGUUUUCAAAGCUCAGGCCUCAUGAUGGCUCUGUGGCCCAGGCUGGAGUGAAGUGGCACCAUCUCAGCUCACCGUAACCUCUGCCCCACAGGUUCAAGUGAUUCUCUUGCCUCAGCCUCCUGAAUAGCUGAGAUUACAGGUGUGCGCUGCCAUGUCCAGCUAAUUUUUGUAUUUUUAGUAGAGAGAGCGUUUCACCAUGUUGGCCAGGCUGGUCUGGAACUUCUGACCUCAGGUGAUCCACCCACCUUGGCCUCCCAAAGUGCUGGGAUUAUAGGCGUGAGCCACCACCCCUGGCCUGAACUGUUUACUUUGUAGUUAGUUUUAUGAUGUGCCUGUGGCACUAUUUUCAGUAUGCUGUUUAUUAAAACUGGAAAUAAAGUAAAAAAUUUUAAAUCUUCACAACCAGGUUAAUUUGAAUGCACUGAGAUAAUUUAUGGUUU
rnacentral:lncRNA from 1 species